rnacentral:rRNA from 1 species
AGUGAACGCUGGCGGUAGGCCUAACACAUGCAAGUCGAACGGUAGCACAGUAAGAGCUUGCUCUUACGGGUGGCGAGUGGCGGACGGGUGAGGAAUACAUCGGAAUCUACUUUUUCGUGGGGGAUAACGUAGGGAAACUUACGCUAAUACCGCAUACGACCUACGGGUGAAAGCAGGGGAUCUUCGGACCUUGCGCGAUUGAAUGAGCCGAUGUCGGAUUAGCUAGUUGGCGGGGUAAAGGCCCACCAAGGCGACGAUCCGUAGCUGGUCUGAGAGGAUGAUCAGCCACACUGGAACUGAGACACGGUCCAGACUCCUACGGGAGGCAGCAGUGGGGAAUAUUGGACAAUGGGCGCAAGCCUGAUCCAGCCAUACCGCGUGGGUGAAGAAGGCCUUCGGGUUGUAAAGCCCUUUUGUUGGGAAAGAAAAGCAGCAGGUUAAUACCCCGCUGUUCUGACGGUACCCAAAAAAUAAGCACCGGCUAACUUCGUG